AAAAAACCUUCAAAUAUAUGUAUCCUUGUUAUUUAUUAGUAUGAAAAAUAGGGAACAUGAAGCAACCAAAUGGGUGAAUGGUGAACCUGGUUAUUUAGAAUGUAUGAGUUUUAGAAUCUCCCUUGGAACUCAAUUAAUGACUUUCGGCUUCCAAAUGAGUUUUUAAUUGUGUUUGCUAAAAGAGAAAUAAAAAAAAUUCUUUAUUUUUUGAGUUGGUUUUUCUUUUUGGUAAGAUAUUAGAAACUCAUGCAUUGCCAUUUAUGUAUUUAAUAAUUGUAGUGCCAUUUAUGAUGCAACAAGGGGUGUAAAUAGAGAAAUAGAAUCAGAAUUAUAUGUUUUGGGUGAAAAUAAGAUAGUUUCUGGCCGCAGAUGUGGCGGACGAUUAUGUUUCUCAAUUCCCUCUUGUUUUCUCUUCUCUGUUUUCUUUUUUACCUUGAGAAUUGCUGUGGGUUUUAAAACAGGCCAUGGAAAAUGUUAAGCUUUCUUUUCUUGGACUCCUGUCAAUUAUUUUCUCUCUUUCCUCCUCUUAUUUUCUUUUUUACUUUGCGAAGCACAAAAUGCACCUGUAGAACCCUUGUGAUGGACUUCUCGUGCUGGCUAUCGAUGUAUAUAUUGAUGGAAUUAAAGUAAAUGUGGUAUACUUGGACAAUAUGGUUCACUGUUGGAUUGUCUUUGCUAACAACUAAUCAUUGUUUUGUGGCAUUUAUUUGCAGUUCUCAAUGCUCAAUAUAAAUUUGCAUAUAUUUUGUGAAUGUUUCUUUUAAUUAUGUGGGUUCCAAUUUUCUUGGCUCUGGUGACUUGCUGCAAUUAGCCGUUGAAGGACUCCUUCUUGCGUUCUGUAUCUGCAAUUAGCCGUUGAAGGACUCCUUCUUGCGUUCUGUAUCUGCUUCAUUACUAUAUCUUCUGCUGUGCAUUUCUUCAAGCUUGUGAAAAUGAUAUGUGAUGCAGCAAGCGGGGUAUUGAAGUAAAAAUCUGACUCUGUCUAUAUAUGAUUGGUGUGUGCCAAGGUUGAAAUUUGUCUCAAAUUGUUUACUUGGAUGAAACUGUAAACUGAACCCAGAAAAUAAAAGGCAUAAUCAAUAUUUUCAUUUGAAAGUAUGUGGGGAAGGGAAAUUUUGGCCUUGGAACAACUAUUGAACUUCUUUACAUGGGCUUUUGCAGGUUGUAAAUGUAUCAAAUGGUACCCAAACUGAAACUACUCUUGAUGGCACUCAUGACAGUACCAACAGCAGCGGCCCAAUAACCCAUAAGGAAGUUAUUGGAAACAAAGCUGAUGUUCAACUCAGUGGCAGCUCUCAGAAAGGGAACAAACCAACAUUAGACAGAAUUAAUAAUAAAUCAUGGGAAGGCGCUUCAAAAAAUCUUGCAGAAUCAGAAACUAAUCCAGUGUUGGCCAUUUUUAAAUUGUUUAUAGCCGCGUUCAUGAAAAUUUGGUCUUAAGGAAGUUUUGGUGUAUUUGUUUUUGUCUACAUGAGUCGAUGAAUUCUACAUCUGCCAGAGUAAUGUAUGAACUUUCCCCAGUCUCAAUGUAGG
rnacentral:misc_RNA from 1 species